AUGCAGAGAAGCCAUGGUGCUCAAGAACUGGUCAGGACCUACAUAGCAGCUCUCGGGUCCUUCUGAGAUUUUGCUUUCCUGCUAGUGGCUAUUGAAUAUAGGACACAUUCUAGACAAACUUAUGAGAUGUGUACCCCAGUACAACAUUGCUGGUUUUCCACUGGAGGGCACCCCAUCCUGGAUUGUAACCUGGAAGACUGAGGUCCCAUUAGACCUGUAAAAGGUGAGUAAUUGGAGUCCUGAGAGAAGUAAGCCAAUAACUUUUCAAAUAGAAUAAUGCCACCAGAUAAAAGCAAAUGAAAUUAUAUAAUGCCAAA
rnacentral:lncRNA from 1 species